AUUGAACGCUGGCGGCAUGCUUUACACAUGCAAGUCGAACGGUAACAGGCCUUCGGGUGCUGACGAGUGGCGAACGGGUGAGUAAUGCAUCGGAACGUGCCCAGAGGUGGGGGAUAACGCAGCGAAAGCUGUGCUAAUACCGCAUGUGAUCUGAGGAUGAAAGCGGGGGACCAGGCAGCAAUGUUUGGCCUCGCGCCUUUGGAGCGGCCGAUGUCCGAUUAGGUAGUUGGUGGGGUAAAGGCCUACCAAGCCGACGAUCUGUAGCUGGUCUGAGAGGACGACCAGCCACACUGGGACUGAGACACGGCCCAGACGCCUACGGGAGGCAGCAGUGGGGAAUUUUGGACAAUGGGCGCAAGCCUGAUCCAGCAAUGCCGCGUGCGGGAAGAAGGCCUUCGGGUUGUAAACCGCUUUUGUACGGAACGAAAAGGCUCUGGCUAAUACCUGGGGCUGAUGACGGUACCGUAAGAAUAAGCACCGGCUAACUACGUG
rnacentral:rRNA from 1 species